rnacentral:tRNA from 1 species
UGGCUCAGUUGGUUAAGCAUCUGACUUCAGCUCAGAUCAUGAUCUCACAGUUUGUGGGUUCAAGUCCCUC